rnacentral:rRNA from 1 species
UACGUAGGGAGCAAGCGUUGCUCGGAAUCACUGGGCGUAAAGCGCACGUAGGCGGACUCUUAAGUCAGGGGUGAAAUCCUGGAGCUCAACUCCAGAACUGCCUUUGAUACUGGGAAUCUUGAGUUCGGGAGAGGUGAGUGGAACUGCGAGUGUAGAGGUGAAAUUCGUAGAUAUUCGCAAGAACAUCAGUGGCGAAGGCGGCUCACUGGCCCGAUACUGACGCUGAGGUGCGAAAGCGUGGGGAGCAAACAGG